ACUGCUGUGAUGAAACAUACAUGCCAUCUGACUUACUACCAUGCUGAUACUCAGAGGCUGUUUCUGAGCUG